rnacentral:rRNA from 1 species
GACGAACGCUGGCGGCGUGCUUAACACAUGCAAGUCGAGCGGGAUCCAACCGGUGGCAACACCGGGGAAGAUCUAGCGGCGAACGGGUGAGUAACACGUGAGCAACCUGCCCCGAAGACUGGGAUAACACCGGGAAACCGGUGCUAAUACCGGAUGUCGUCAUUAGGCCGCAUGACCUGAUGAUGAAAGGAUUCAUCGCUUCGGGAGGGGCUCGCGGGCUAUCAGCNGUUGGUGGGGUAACGGCCUACCAAGGCGACGACGGCUAGCUGGUCUGAGAGGACGACCAGCCACACUGGGACUGAGACACGGCCCAGACUCCUACGGGAGGCAGCAGUGGGGAAUCUUGCGCAAUGGGCGAAAGCCUGACGCAGCGACGCCGCGUGAGGGAUGACGGCCUGGUU